AUUGAACGCUGGCGGCAGGCCUAACACAUGCAAGUCGAGCGGAUGAGGAAAGCUUGCUUUUCGAUUCAGCGGCGGACGGGUGAGUAAUGCCUAGGAAUCUGCCUGUUAGUGGGGGAUAACUCGGGGAAACUCGGGCUAAUACCGCAUACGUCCUACGGGAGAAAGUGGGGGAUCUUCGGACCUCACGCUAACAGAUGAGCCUAGGUCGGAUUAGCUAGUAGGUGAGGUAAUGGCUCACCUAGGCGACGAUCCGUAACUGGUCUGAGAGGAUGAUCAGUCACACUGGAACUGAGACACGGUCCAGACUCCUACGGGAGGUAGCAGUGGGGAAUAUUGGACAAUGGGCGAAAGCCUGAUUCAGCCAUGCCGCGUGUGUGAAGAAGGUCUUCGGAUUGUAAAGCACUUUAAGUUGGGAGGAAGGGUAUUCACCUAAUACGUGGGUACUUUGACGUUACCAACAGAAUAAGCACCGGCUAACUCUGUGCCAGCCGCCGCGGUAAUAC
rnacentral:rRNA from 1 species